AAAAAAACCUAGAAAUCAAAUUCACUUAAAUACCGACGAAGAAAUUGCUAGUCCAUGAUGAAAAAAAUUACUCUGAGUAUAAGGUGGUCGCACCUUCGGUAUUGGAGACUUUGUGGACAACAGACUCACGCGCGCUACACAAUUGCACAGUUUGUCGGGAUAAUAAUUCCUUAUUUUCUGCAAUAUUAUAUUAUACUCCAACCGCAUCUUCUCGCCGAUUACUUACACCGAGAUUAUCCGAAUGCAGAACGGAUAAAUUAUUAUAUUUUGUCCGAGUCGG